AAUGAACGUUGGCGGCGUGGAUUAGGCAUGCAAGUCGAGCGGCAGCAGGCCCGCAAGGGCGCUGGCGAGCGGCGAAAGGGAGAGUAACACGCGGGUACCUACCCUCGGGACCGGGAUAGCUGCGGGAAACUGCAAUUAAUACCGGAUAAUGUCCCCGGACCAAAGGUGUGAUUCCGCCUGGGGAGGGGCCCACGUCCUAUCAGCUAGUUGGUGAGGUAAUGGCUCACCAAGGCAACGACGGGUACGGGGUGUGAGAGCAUGCCCCCGCGCACUGGGACUUAGAUACUGCCCAGACACCUACGGGUGGCUGCAGUCGAGAAUCUUCCGCAAUGGGCGAAAGCCUGACGGAGCGACGCCGCGUGCGGGAUGAAGGCCUUCGGGUUGUAAACCGCUGUCAGAGGGGAACAAAUUCAUGGGGGUUCUCCCCUGUGUUUGAGUGAUCCUCAGAGGAAGCACAGGCUAAGUCCGUGCCAGCCGCCGCGGUAA
rnacentral:rRNA from 1 species